AGUGAACGCUGGCGGUAGGCCUAACACAUGCAAGUCGAACGGCAGCACAGUAAGAGCUUGCUCUUACGGGUGGCGAGUGGCGGACGGGUGAGGAAUACAUCGGAAUCUACUUUUUCGUGGGGGAUAACGUAGGGAAACUUACGCUAAUACCGCAUACGACCUACGGGUGAAAGAAGGGGAUCUUCGGACCUUGCGCGAUUGAAUGAGCCGAUGUCGGAUUAGCUAGUUGGCGGGGUAAAGGCCCACCAAGGCGACGAUCCGUAGCCGGUCUGAGAGGAUGAUCAGCCACACUGGAACGGAGGCACGGUCCAGACUCCUACGGGAGGCAGCAGUGGGGAAUAUUGGACAAUGGGAGCAAGCCUGAUCCAGCCAUACCGCGUGGGUGAAGAAGGCCUUCGGGUUGUAAAGCCCUUUUGUUGGGAAAGAAAAGCAGCAGGUUAAUACCCCGCUGUUCUGACGGUACCCAAAGAAUAAGCACCGGCUAACUUCGUG
rnacentral:rRNA from 1 species